GGGACUGGGUUGUAUGGUAGGAUG
rnacentral:siRNA from 1 species